rnacentral:Y_RNA from 1 species
GGCUGGUCUGAACGCAGUGAGUUAUCUCACUUGAUUGUUCACAGUCAGUUACAGAUUGAACUCCUUGUUCUACUUUCCCCCUUCUCACUACUGCACUUGUCUAAAAA